AAAUGAAGAAAAUGUCAGUUAAAAAUUAUUAAUAUACGCCGGCACAACUGGCUUCAAGCGACUGACAGCAAAACAGAUGGUAGACAAAAAACAUUGAUUAACUAUUUCAAUAGUGCUAAUGGGUUUCCAAAAAGGGACUUAACUGAUCACAGGACAUCAGCGAACUGGUUGAUGAUCCGUACCAAGCCACAUGAGCCUGAGGACCUGAUGAGAACACUUUAAGCAUACCUUGCCAGGCCACCAAGGAAAGCCGUGAAUUUUACCCCAUACAACGUCGCCC